rnacentral:rRNA from 2 species
UAACAAUGAUUUCCCUAGUAACGGCGAGUGAAGAGGAAAGAGCUCAAAGUUGGAACCUGUUUGGCCUAGCUAAACCGGAUUGUAGACUGUAGAAGUGUUUUCCAGGCAAGCCGAGUAAAUAAGUCCUUUGGAACAGGGCAUCAUAGAGGGUGAGAAUCCCGUCUUUGGCUUGAGCAUUUGCCUUUUGUGAUACGCUUUCAAAGAGUCAGGUUGUUUGGGAAUGCAGCCUAAAUUGGGUGGUAAAUCUCACCUAAAGCUAAAUAUUGGCGAGAAACCGAUAGCGAACAAGUACCGUGAGGGAAAGAUGAAAAGAACUUUGAAAAGAGAGUUAAACAGUAUGUGAAAUUGUUAAAAGGGAACCGUUUGGAGCCAGACUGGCUUGUCUGUAAUCAAUUUAGGCUUCGGCCUGGAUGCACUUGCAGGCUAUGCCUGCCAACGACAAUUUGACUUGAGGGAAAAAACUAGGGGAAAUGUGGCCCACUUGUGGGUGUUAUAGUCCCUUAGAAAAUACCUUGGGUUGGAUUGAGGAACGCAGCGAAUGCUUAUUGGCGAGUUUUCCAGGAAGGUUUUCUGAGGUACUACGGUAUCAAGGUUGUCUUUUUGGUUAUAACUUCUAUUCGCUU